rnacentral:snRNA from 1 species
AGCUUUGCACAAUGGCAGUAGUGUAGCCAAUGAGGUGCAAUUAUUGCUAAUUGGAAACUUUUCCCAGUAUAUUUACUUAUAUUUUCCAGAAAAAAAGUGAAAAUUCUAAGUACUGUUACU